rnacentral:snRNA from 1 species
GUUGUCUGGAACAGUAUAAAAUAAAAUUAGAUAAAUACAGAGAAGAAUAGCAUGGUCCCUUGCGCAAAGAUGACACGUGUAAUCGAGAAGCGUAUGAAAUUUUU